GGGGCAGGGCUGGGCCGCGCUGCUCCUGGCUGUCCGGACCCCCCGACUUUGGCAAGUCGCGAUGCUCGUCGUCUCCCUCCCUCAAAACUUCCCUCGGUUUAUCUCAUUCUCUCUUCCCCAAGACUGCUCCACCGUCAGCCCCAGUGCCUCCCAGAUCCUUUGAACUUCAUCUAAGAGUAUUUUACUUCCUUUAUGUUUACUUACAUGUUUAAUAGGAAAAAAGGGAAGGAGGUAAGAUUACCUAAGCUGCAUUCUUUUCUGAGAUCAUAAACAGGCCAGCAUAGUCUUGCUUAGCAUUGAUAAGGCUAUAAACAAGCACAGCUUCAUUCAGAAUCUGUAGGUACUGAGGCAGGCAGCAGUUCUGAAUGUAGAAUCUUUCACAGCAUGUUUCUUCUUGAUAGGGCAUUUAGUUGCUAAAUGAUUCAUUGGCUAUGCAUUGUCCUGUGUAACUCUGCCUAGAUCCAACUCAUUUUGCUGCUGGUCUCAGGAAAAAAUCUCAUAUUUAUAUCCCUAAUAUUUAAGAGCUAUUUUUCUUCAAGAUUUUGAGGAGAUGGAACGUCAAGGGAAGAGUAAAUACCUGUCUUAGCUAGUUAUGAUUAAGAAAUUGGUCACAAAUAUAGUGCCAUAUUGAGGGCCAUUAGAACAGUCGUGAAAAGUAUACGUUGCCCCCUCAAGAACAGCAAUGGCUUUAAGAUCUGAAAGUUCUAGAUUCAUAUAUCACUUUUCACAUAAUAAAUGUGGUGAAAUGCAGUGAUAAUAUAGACAUAGAGAUGUCUUCCCAUAAUUACACUCUGCGCACUCAACAAUAUAUUCAAUAGCAUCAGUAAGAUCUGCAACAGUACAAUUUGCUACAAGAAGAUAAAUAAUUACCUAAUUUUGUCACAUAAAUUCUUGAACAUUUUCCUUCAGUGUUUCCCUGCUUCCCCUUCCCCUCCACUCUCCUUUCUCUAAGGUGAUUUCAAAAAGGAAUCCAAAGAGAAGUACAGUCAAUCACAAAAUAUUCUGUUCCACAUUGUGAUUUUCUGGACACAGAACAGUGGAAGAUAUAUGAAUAUUAUUUUGUGUACGAUUUCGGUAAGAAGAAAUUGGGAGACUGUAUUUUAGUUUCAGUAAAUAUAAAACUUUAUCUUCCAGUGAGUUUUGGGGUUUGUUCUGUUUAUUUUUUUAAUAAUUCUUCAAACACAGGAAGGAAGAACAGAGAGAUUGUUCUUGAGACUUUGCAACUUUCAAGACAAAGAAAAGACCGGAGAAAAACUGCAUGAUUACCUCCUGCAGAAUCUUACUUCCCUACCUAAUAACGUAGAUCCAGUAUGCAGAAACAGUGACCAGAGAAACUGCUUCCAAGGAACUGGAAGAAAGAAAACUUCUCCAAUGAAAAAAGGGUUACCCAGAGAUGUCAUGUACUUCCUCUUGUACUCUGUAUUUGCCAAGCUGUGCAGACACAAACAGAUACAUGAAGAAACAGGUAUAGCUACAGACUUGGAAACCGAGAUAGAACAAUAUAGUCUGCUUUACUCCAGUGAUGUCUUGUUCUUGCAGAAAAUGUUGAUUCACCUCUGGUAGCAGAAACUGAAUGCAGCGGAGGACAACUGACAGCUGCCCUCAUUGUGAGAAUCCUUCUUUGUUUUGUUUUUUUUUUUUGGCUCAAAGCUUGCUUCCUGAGGUAUUUCUUGUGAUAA